GGGUUGUGAGGUUAAGCGACUAAGCGUACACGGUGGAUGCCCUGGCAGUCAGAGGCGAUGAAGGACGUGCUAAUCUGCGAUAAGCGUCGGUAAGGUGAUAUGAACCGUUAUAACCGGCGAUUUCCGAAUGGGGAAACCCAGUGUGAUUCGUCACACUAUCAUUAACUGAAUCCAUAGGUUAAUGAGGCGAACCGGGGGAACUGAAACAUCUAAGUACCCCGAGGAAAAGAAAUCAACCGAGAUUCCCCCAGUAGCGGCGAGCGAACGGGGAGCAGCCCAGAGCCUGAAUCAGUGUGUGUGUUAGUGGAAGCGUCUGGAAAGGCGCGCGAUACAGGGUGACAGCCCCGUACACAAAAAUGCACAUGCUGUGAGCUCGAUGAGUAGGGCGGGACACGUGGUAUCCUGUCUGAAUAUGGGGGGACCAUCCUCCAAGGCUAAAUACUCCUGACUGACCGAUAGUGAACCAGUACCGUGAGGGAAAGGCGAAAAGAACCCCGGCGAGGGGAGUGAAAAAGAACCUGAAACCGUGUACGUACAAGCAGUGGGAGCCUCUUUAUGGGGUGACUGCGUACCUUUUGUAUAAUGGGUCAGCGACUUAUAUUCUGUAGCAAGGUUAACCGAAUAGGGGAGCCGAAGGGAAACCGAGUCUUAACUGGGCGUUAAGUUGCAGGGUAUAGACCCGAAACCCGGUGAUCUAGCCAUGGGCAGGUUGAAGGUUGGGUAACACUAACUGGAGGACCGAACCGACUAAUGUUGAAAAAUUAGCGGAUGACUUGUGGCUGGGGGUGAAAGGCCAAUCAAACCGGGAGAUAGCUGGUUCUCCCCGAAAGCUAUUUAGGUAGCGCCUCGUGAAUUCAUCUCCGGGGGUAGAGCACUGUUUCGGCAAGGGGGUCAUCCCGACUUACCAACCCGAUGCAAACUGCGAAUACCGGAGAAUGUUAUCACGGGAGACACACGGCGGGUGCUAACGUCCGUCGUGAAGAGGGAAACAACCCAGACCGCCAGCUAAGGUCCCAAAGUCAUGGUUAAGUGGGAAACGAUGUGGGAAGGCCCAGACAGCCAGGAUGUUGGCUUAGAAGCAGCCAUCAUUUAAAGAAAGCGUAAUAGCUCACUGGUCGAGUCGGCCUGCGCGGAAGAUGUAACGGGGCUAAACCAUGCACCGAAGCUGCGGCAGCGACACUAUGUGUUGUUGGGUAGGGGAGCGUUCUGUAAGCCUGCGAAGGUGGCCUGUGAGGGUUGCUGGAGGUAUCAGAAGUGCGAAUGCUGACAUAAGUAACGAUAAAGCGGGUGAAAAGCCCGCUCGCCGGAAGACCAAGGGUUCCUGUCCAACGUUAAUCGGGGCAGGGUGAGUCGACCCCUAAGGCGAGGCCGAAAGGCGUAGUCGAUGGGAAACAGGUUAAUAUUCCUGUACUUGGUGUUACUGCGAAGGGGGGACGGAGAAGGCUAUGUUGGCCGGGCGACGGUUGUCCCGGUUUAAGCGUGUAGGCUGGUUUUCCAGGCAAAUCCGGAAAAUCAAGGCUGAGGCGUGAUGACGAGGCACUACGGUGCUGAAGCAACAAAUGCCCUGCUUCCAGGAAAAGCCUCUAAGCAUCAGGUAACAUCAAAUCGUACCCCAAACCGACACAGGUGGUCAGGUAGAGAAUACCAAGGCGCUUGAGAGAACUCGGGUGAAGGAACUAGGCAAAAUGGUGCCGUAACUUCGGGAGAAGGCACGCUGAUAUGUAGGUGAAGCGACUUGCUCGUGGAGCUGAAAUCAGUCGAAGAUACCAGCUGGCUGCAACUGUUUAUUAAAAACACAGCACUGUGCAAACACGAAAGUGGACGUAUACGGUGUGACGCCUGCCCGGUGCCGGAAGGUUAAUUGAUGGGGUCAGCGCAAGCGAAGCUCUUGAUCGAAGCCCCGGUAAACGGCGGCCGUAACUAUAACGGUCCUAAGGUAGCGAAAUUCCUUGUCGGGUAAGUUCCGACCUGCACGAAUGGCGUAAUGAUGGCCAGGCUGUCUCCACCCGAGACUCAGUGAAAUUGAACUCGCUGUGAAGAUGCAGUGUACCCGCGGCAAGACGGAAAGACCCCGUGAACCUUUACUAUAGCUUGACACUGAACAUUGAGCCUUGAUGUGUAGGAUAGGUGGGAGGCUUUGAAGUGUGGACGCCAGUCUGCAUGGAGCCGACCUUGAAAUACCACCCUUUAAUGUUUGAUGUUCUAACGUAGACCCGUGAUCCGGGUUGCGGACAGUGUCUGGUGGGUAGUUUGACUGGGGCGGUCUCCUCCUAAAGAGUAACGGAGGAGCACGAAGGUUGGCUAAUCCUGGUCGGACAUCAGGAGGUUAGUGCAAUGGCAUAAGCCAGCUUGACUGCGAGCGUGACGGCGCGAGCAGGUGCGAAAGCAGGUCAUAGUGAUCCGGUGGUUCUGAAUGGAAGGGCCAUCGCUCAACGGAUAAAAGGUACUCCGGGGAUAACAGGCUGAUACCGCCCAAGAGUUCAUAUCGACGGCGGUGUUUGGCACCUCGAUGUCGGCUCAUCACAUCCUGGGGCUGAAGUAGGUCCCAAGGGUAUGGCUGUUCGCCAUUUAAAGUGGUACGCGAGCUGGGUUUAGAACGUCGUGAGACAGUUCGGUCCCUAUCUGCCGUGGGCGCUGGAGAACUGAGGGGGGCUGCUCCUAGUACGAGAGGACCGGAGUGGACGCAUCACUGGUGUUCGGGUUGUCAUGCCAAUGGCACUGCCCGGUAGCUAAAUGCGGAAGAGAUAAGUGCUGAAAGCAUCUAAGCACGAAACUUGCCCCGAGAUGAGUUCUCCCUGACUCUUUAAGAGUCCUGAAGGAACGUUGAAGACGACGACGUUGAUAGGCCGGGUGUGUAAGCGCAGCGAUGCGUUGAGCUAACCGGUACUAAUGAACCGUGAGGCUUAACCUUACAACGCCGAAG
rnacentral:rRNA from 1 species